rnacentral:lncRNA from 1 species
CUGGAGUUAGUUGAUGCAUGGACUGCAAAACAGCUUGCAACACCUACUAAUCCUGGAGUUGAGAGGUUAGGAAUACAGCAGGACCCCCUGUACUGGUGGACUUAAAUUGAAAAGGACACAAGGUUGGUGCAACUGAACCGUCUCCCUAUGGUUCUCCUGCAAGAAUAUUCCCCAGAUGGAGCAUGGAAAUAAUGGAAAUGGAUGGAGCACAAGAGGUACAGG